rnacentral:rRNA from 1 species
CCUACGGGAGGCAGCAGUGGGGAAUUGUUCGCAAUGGGCGCAAGCCUGACGACGCAACGCCGCGUGGAGGACGAAGAUCUUCGGGUCGUAAACUCCUGUCGAGUGGGAAGAACACCUUUCGGGUGAAUAACCCGAGAGGCUGACGGUACCACUAAAGGAAGCCCCGGCUAACUCCGUGCCAGCAGCCGCGGUAAU